rnacentral:misc_RNA from 1 species
GAUGAAGAACGCAGCGAAAUGCGAUAAGUAAUGCGAAUUGCAGAAUUCAGUGAGUCAUCGAAUCUUUGAACGCACAUUGCGCUCCCUGGUAUUCCGGGGAGCAUGCCUGUUCGAGCGUCAUUACAACCCUCAAGCUCUGCUUGGUGUUGGGCCCCGCCGCCCCGGCGGGCCCUAAAGUCAGUGGCGGUGCCGUCCGGCUCCGAGCGUAGUAAUUUUUCUCGCUUUGGAGGCCCGGGCGCGUGCUUGCCAUCAACCCCCAAUUUUUUUCAGGUUGACCUCGGAUCAGGUAGGGAUACCCGCUGAACUUAAGCAUAUCAAUAAGCGGAGGA